CACGUAGGGGGCGAGCGUUGUCCGGAUUUAUUGGGCGUAAAGAGCUCGUAGGCGGCUCAGUAAGUCGGGUGUGAAAACUCCAGGCUCAACCUGGAGACGCCACCUGAUACUGCUGUGGCUAGAGUCCGGUAGGGGAGCAUGGAAUUCCUGGUGUAGCGGUGAAAUGCGUAGAUAUCUGGAGGAACACCGGUGGCGAAGGCGGCAUCCUGGACCAACACUGACGCUGAGGAGCGAAAGCCAGGGGAGCAAACGGG
rnacentral:rRNA from 1 species